rnacentral:misc_RNA from 1 species
GAAAUGCGAUAAGUAAUGUUAAUUGCAGAAUUCAGUGAAUCAUCGAAUCUUUGAACGCACAUUGCGCCCGCCAGCACUCUGGCGGGCAUGCCUGUUCGAGCGUCAUUUCAACCCUCAGAACCCCUUGCGGGAUCUGGCGUUGGGGAUUGGCAUCCAGUCAGCCCCGAAAUCUAGUGGCGGUCCCUCCGCGACCUCCCCUGUGCAGUAGCGAUACCUCGCAGCGGGACAGCGGUCUGACCACGCCGUAAAACCCCCAACUUCUCAAGGUUGACCUCGAAUCAGGUAGGAAUACCCGCUGAACUUAAGC